rnacentral:lncRNA from 10 species
UGAGAAUAUAGGCCAGUAGAACAUUUAUUUAUUCAUUCAUUCAUUCUUUAGCUCAUUGACUUGAUAUGUACUAUGCUAUAGGUACUUGGCUAGACUGAGGAUGUAGAGAUGAAGACACACACCUUUCCCCAUAAGAUGGUGAAGUAGAGGGCUGAGAACAGACAUUUAAACCUACCAUGGGGAGAGCAAAACAGAGCUUUUAAGAACUGAAUUCUAUAAUA